AUUCUGCCCAAGCGGGGAAGGAUGAGAAGCUUCGACCAAGGUUCGACUUGAGCGCCAGCGAGAGAGCGUUGCCGCAGGCAACGACCCGUAGGGCGAAGCGCGCAGCGCUGAGUAAUCCUUCCCCCACCACCA
rnacentral:sRNA from 1 species